rnacentral:rRNA from 1 species
CUUGCGGCUGCACGGAGGAAAAAAUGUGUGAUAUCAAUUGUGGUAAUAUUAUUGCUGGUAGCAUUGAUCUUUGUUGCUGUUGCAGUAUCCAUAGUUGUACAAGAAAACAUAAUGA